UCAAUGGGAAUCCCAUCGUGAGUGU
rnacentral:piRNA from 1 species